rnacentral:pre_miRNA from 1 species
AGCCUUCUGUAUCCGUGCUGAGACUUCGUCACACACCAGACCACAAGGGCUGAUGAGACUUACGCGGUCGACACGCU